rnacentral:rRNA from 1 species
CAAUAGCGUAUAUUAAAGUUGUUGCGGUUAAAAAGCUCGUAGUUGGAUUUCUGCUGAGAACGACCGGUCCGCCCUCUGGGUGUGUAUCUGGCUCUUUCUUGGCAUCUUCUUGGUGAACGUUGCUGCACUUGACUGUGUGGAGCGCUACCCAGGACUUUUACUUUGAGGAAAUUAGAGUGUUUCAAGCAGGCAUACGCCUUGAAUACAUUAGCAUGGAAUAAUAAGAUAGGACCUCGGUUCUAUUUUGUUGGUUUCUAGAGCUGAGGUAAUGAUUAAUAGGGAUAGUUGGGGGCAUUCGUAUUUAACUGUCAGAGGUGAAAUUCUUGGAUUUGUUAAAGACGGACUACUGCGAAAACAUUUGCCAAGGAUGUUUUCAUUGA